UCUCCAGAACGGGCUGGGUGUCACUCAGCUUUGUUUCCCUGGUGUCAAGAAGGCACCCAGGAAAUUGCUACUGAGUGAGGGGUCUGUGUUCCUUCCCCACGCGAGGCCCUUUAUCCAGGAGAACAAAUUUCGGAUGCUGCAAACCUACCGCUUGACGGAGACCCGGUGACUCAGGGGAUAGCUGUGGGCAUGGGGGCUUUCCAGCAACCUAGUUAGAUGAAACCACACAGCAACCUUCCUGCCCCACGGGGUGGCCUAUUUCUCAAUUCCUGUAGUCUCAGCAGCCCUCACUGCAGAAUUCUGAUGAGGCCAGGCCAUUUCGCGGCUGGUCUUUGAUGAGAAAAGGGAAUUGAGAUGUAGGUGACUGAUUUGGACCUUGAGAAGCUGAUGGGAUGUCACCCUGCUCUUUCUGACAGUGGGAAUGAGUCUGUGGAGAGGGGGCUUCCUGUGACCCCUGCCGGGCCUCCCGGAAGCUCAGCUCGGUCCCCGAGAAAUGAGAUGGGAAGGCAUCGCUGACACUCGGGCUGCAGUGAACUUCGAACUCCAUCCGCCUUGCCUGAUCGAGCUCGUCUAGGCGGCUUCGGGCUGGUGGCCACAGCUCCUCUGGGCUGAUGGGCAGAUGCUCCUUCCUCCUGCGUGGGGCAGGACCCAGGGGGCAGGCGGAAACCACCUCGUCUCUGAAAAAAAAGAAGACAGUGCCCAGAUGCAACUCAGACAAGAGAGGGCGAAGGAACUGAGUCAGUGCACUGUCAGACAGCCCCUUGGGAGGCUGGUCUGCGCUCCAGCGAUGCUUCAUGGGAAGGUGGAUGACACGACGGAAGUGUGUGUAGAAGAUGCAGGUUCUGUCAUAUGGUUGAGCCUGCGCUACCCCGUGAAUCCCUGACUUUUUCUCAGAACUGCUGGCCAACUGAUUCUCAAACCCAUCACUGCUGGAAACACCAUAAACGUCAAAUUUUAGACUUCGGCUUGGACAUCCAUUUUCUGGGGGUGGUAGAAGCCCAAUCCCCACCUGUAACAUUUACCCCUCUUGCCAAAUGCCAUUGUCUUUCUUUCUACUGCAAGUUAGUCUCUUGGCACAGAAAACAAAAACACAAAGAAGCAUGAGGAGCUGCAUCUUUUCUUGAAGAAGAAAAUCAUAUUUCUGGGUACCAGGCCAAUAGAAACGAAAGAGGAAAUCAGAGAUGGAUGCUUCUGAUAGGACUCUGGUUUGGUUGCAUCUUAAAGACUUAUUCAUAGAUGUUAGAAAGGAUAUGGCCCAAGGGAGUGUGCAGUACAUACACCUCAAUUGAUUCAGACACAGAAAUGUCUUUGCAGCUCUUUAAGGAAAUGGGUACCCGUGGAAAAACGGCAGUUGACUGUAAUGAGUAACAAAGAUGGUGCCUGACGUGGGUAAGGAACAAAAGUCUGACCAGUGCGGAAUAGCUCUCACAUGUUAUGAUUUUAGCAUCUUUCUCAGAAUUCUCAGGAUGGUUUCCCACAUGUUCUCACGGAGCUUUGCACUGUUCUACAGUGUCAGGAGGCAGCCAUGCCAAUAUGGCACGAAAGAAGGCAUCGUGCCUUCAGAGAUGGCUGGGAGUUCCCCUGGGGGCUCAGUGGUAAUGAACCCGACUAAUAUCCAUGAGGAUGCAGGUUUGAUCCCUGGCCUCGCUCAGUGGGUUAAAGAUCUGGCGUUGCCAUGAGCUGUGGUGUAGGUUGCAGAUGUGGCUUGGAUCCUAAGUUGCUAUGGCUGUGGUGUAGGCCGGCAGCUGCAGCUCUGGUUUGACCCCUAGCCUGGGAACCGCCAUAUGCUGUUGGUGUGGCCCUAAAAAGCAUAAAAAAAAAAAAAGCUAGAACUCUUAUUUCUGGACUUCCAAUAUCCUUUUGGAGCUGAUUCUGCAGCAUACAGAAGUUCCCGGGCUAGGGGUUGAAUCAGAACACCACCUGAGGCCUACGCCACAGCCACACAACACCGGAUCCGAGCUGCUGUGGCUGUGGCAUAGGCAGGCAGCUGUAGCUCCGAUUCCAUCCUGGCCUGACCUCCAUAGGCUGCAGCUUGUGGCAACACCGGGUCCUUAGCCCACUGAGUGCGGCCAGGGAACUACCUCACAUGCUCACGGACACAGCGGGAACGCCUCCGGUAUUAUCUUUUCUUAUCCUGUGUCCAUCCUUCUCCCAACAGCAAAAUCCCCCUGUCCUUGAACUCCAGAGUGGACAAGCUGGUUCCCGUGUGACUGGCUCCAACCGCUGUGUGGAGCUGGUCCCCAGUCGUGUAAUUGUUUGUUUAUUGUAUGUCUCUCCCCGGAGAGUUCCUCAAGGGCACAGACCCAGAUUUAUGCAUUUUUACAUCUCAGUAACUCUCACUGGCAUCUCGUAGGUAAUAGUUUAACCAAGCCUGGUUGAAUGAAGCAAGCGGCCAUGUAUUCCAGGGUGUUGAGUUACUAACUCUCUUGUUGGCGUCCUUUGGUGUGUUUCUAGAGUUACUUCCUGCAGCUCCCUUUUCUCCUUGAGAUAAAAAAAGAAGCCAGACCUCUCACCUUGCAAAAGCUUCGAUGUACUUGAAACAACCAUUUUGAAUACGGAAAGGGGCCGCAGCCUCGUUCCAGCAGCUAGCGGGGCAGAGCCGCUAUGCUGGCUGUGCUGUGCGAGUUGAUUGAAGCCUUUUUUAAGCCUCAGCAACAAGUGGCUACCUUCUCGGGUGAUGCUGUGAUACAAAUGCCAUCCACAAAGGCUACUUGUGGAGACUGGUAUCCCUUCUUUGGCUCAGAUUUCUCCAGAAAGUGGUCACAGGUUGAUGGGCUGGUGAAGCUUCUUUCUCCUUUCAGCCCAUCAGAUUUUUUUAAAUGCUCCCCAGCCCUGCUCCGAUUCCGUGUUUGAUAACCUCCAACGGUUAAAGGGAAGUAUUUGUCAUCUCAGCACCUGGUUUCAGGAACAAAGUACUCACCUCCCAGCCCAGGAAGCCGUUUCAAAAUAACCUUUGUUCAGGGAUCUGAAAGAGCUGAGUACUCCGCUGCCAGGACUGCCCCUGGCUGGGCAGGUGGGGGCAGAGAUUUCAGGUGAGCAGGGCUGCAGCCGUUGCCAUGGUGACUAUCAAUCAUUUGAUGAGAUCUGCUGGGAAGGGGGUGGGGGUGAGAAGCCACAGGAAAAUCUGCCUUUUAACAAUUCCUUAGCACCCAAUGCGGCUAUCAGGCUCAAGCCUUUGGAGAUAGUAAUUUGGGGGUACCUGAUUCUGGAAGCAGAGGGAAAGCUAUGCCGUCUAACUUCCUUUGAGAAAUGCAUCUAGUUGGUGAACCAGGAGCCUCGUAUCCUUUAGGCGCCCUCAGACCUAACGCUGAUUUUGUAUGAGAGUAUGCGGGGGCAGGGCUGCUCUUUACCAAAUCUGCCCUACUGGGCCCAAAUGUACAACUCGGUGGCUGUAGGAUUUCCUGACUCCUAUGGGGAAUCCUGAUCUUUAUUUUUCUUUAUUUUCUUCCUUUUUUUUUUUAGGGCCGCUCGUGCAGCAUGUGGAAGUUCCCAGGCCAGGUGUCAAAUUGGAGCUGCAGCUGCUACUGGCCUAAGCCACAGCCACUGCAACGUGGAUCUGAGCUGCAUCUGUGACCUAUGCUGCAGCUUGCAGCAUCCUCUAAGAGACUACAUCAGGGUCUUAACCCAUGGAGCCACAAUGGGAACUCUGGGAAUCCUGUUUUGAGUUUUCCGUUUAGAAGUCUAGGAAUAGAUCACUCCAGCUUCGGAUAAUCAGCCAAGGGAUGAUAAGGUUAGCUCUCCUGUGUUGAGGACCUACUGUGUGCUGAAGGCUUUGCCCACAUCGUCUCCAUCAGCUCUUAAGACAGCUUUGUAAGGGAUGUUGUUAACUCUACUUCACAGACAAGGAAACAAAGGUCCAAAGAAUUGAAAAAACAACCUCUUUGAGGCCAGAGAGCUAAUAACUAUGGGAGCAGGGACUUCAUACCAGCAAAUAACUAUGGGAGCAGGGACUUCAUACCAGCAAAUAACUAUGGGAGCAGGGACUUCAUACCACCUGACUUCCCAUCAUGGAGCCUCUGGGGGUUGAUGAAGGAACGCGGGCUGUGCUGUGGCUAAUGGGCAGGCACUGGGGGGCUGCUUCACCAGUAUCUGCUACGGGCCCUCUGCAGCCCUCAUCAACCUCUGGCCUCAAUGCUCUGCUGCCUUGCUAAAUUUGAGGCAGCUCCCCACCCCCCCGCCCCCAGAGGAGCCAGACUGCCCUGUCACACCUGGUAACACCUGGGGGUGGGGGGAGAGAUUUGGAAACUCAGGCAUUGGGCACCCCGGGCUCUGCCAAGGACCAGAUCCAUCAGUCUAAUCAGGUGACCUUAGAGUUUGGGCCCAGCUGGAUGUUGGCAGCACGGGACUCUGACUUUGCUAAAUGUUUUACAACAGAGCCACCACGAAAAGAACUGCCCGUUGGUUGUUAUUUUGGAUGCUCGAUUGAUGUGUAAGUCUAGAAACUCAGGCACUCUAGUUGACUGGGUUUGGGAGUUCUGCCUUGACUUGCGUGAGUGUCCAGCUGCUCUGCAGGAGUGACCAAGACCAUCACGGAGCUGUCAUGACCUCGUGAGGUUUGGGUUUCUUGACAUGGGCUUCUUUUUCCCAUGGGCAAGACUCCGGACUCCAAGGACAGGCUGGGGCCAGCCAGGGUCUGGUCCCCUUUCCCUGGGUCUCUGUCUGCUUAUGCCUCUUUCCAAGGCCUAAGUCCAGCCAUGUCCCAGGUCCUUAGGAAGGACUGUCUUAUAAGAAAGAGAAAGGAAAAACCAAAGGGCCUCUUGAUUCAUCCUCUCACUAUAACGUCUAAGGUUAUCUCUGGCCAUACGGGGCCUCUUUCUUUCUAGAGCCAAGAGACUCAAGUGACUACUUGGAAAGAGGGGAUGUGGCAGUCUCGGUGGCACCAGAAAACCCGGGCUCUGCCAGAAGAGGGAGGGGAAGACACUGACUUCAGCAAAAUGGGGACAAGAACCUCCACGUUGCAAGAAGAAGGAACAAGGCACACUUGGCACCUGCCACCUGUUCACAUCUCCACAAGUGGUGGCGACUGUUGGUAUUAUUAUGAUGUGACUGUCUCCCACUCUGUAAGUCCCUUCUAAACCCCUAGAUAGGCAUUCCAAGGGUUCAGUGUCAAUGUUUCCUCCUUGCUCACUUCAGCCAGAAAGGAGCUGUCUUUCUCUCCCUGCAGCUCUUGGCCAGUCUGGCGGCAGCAUCCAUCUGAUUCCUACCUUGUGACUGUAUUCGAACAGAGACUGGCUCUUACCUGCCUGCUGGAUGGAGGCUCACAGAGGCUAAGGGCCCAGGACCACAGGUUAGUGGGUGUGGAGCUGGGCUUUGAAGUCUGACCCAUAGUCCUUAUCCCUGGAAAAUGGGAAAAAACAGCAUUAGGGAAUUCACAAGAGAAGUUUUCUCAGGCUUUUGCUUAAGAGUGGGAACUAGCAGGUCUGGGCUGGCCCUAACCGGACACCAGGCUCCCAGCGUCCAGCACACAGCACAUUUAUAGAAAGUACCAGCUUGCCGUUUUCCUGAUCAGCGGGGACUGCACAGUAGGAUGGAAACGUGCCCUGGAGAUGUGGGCGUUGGAGCUCCUGAUAAAGGGGCUGGCGGUGGAGGAAGUGCUCAGAGGGUGCUGGGCGAGCAGGAAGUGGGAGCUGUUUCUAGCGCAGAGGAUGUGGCUCAAGACAAGGUAUGAGAAAUGAAAGUCAAGGAGGAAGUAGAAGUGGGAUCCGUAGGUGCCUUGAGGACAAGGAAGUGGCUUUGUUACCAAAGGUGGAAGGAGAAAUAGUCUUGUAAUGUCUGCAGGGGGAGGCGAUGGGACCUGCAGGUCGCCCUUUGCCUUGUGGAGAGUCUCGGCCAGCCCAGUGCUCAGAGAAGACACCCUGAAGGAGAAAUGUCCCUUCUUUUGUUUGUUUUAAUCUUGCAAAAUUUCUUCUUCUGCUUCAUCUUCUUUUGUUUUAAGGUAUAGUCGAGUUACAAUGUUAUGCUAGUUUCUGCUGCACAGCAAAGUGACCCAGUCAUACAGGUAUAUACAUCCUUCUCCCAUUAUCCUCCAGCACCUUCUGUCACAAGGGAUUGGAUAGAGGUCCCUGUGUUGCACAGUAGGAGGACCUCAUGCGUAUCCAUUCUACAUGGAAGAGUUUGCACCUACCACCCAGAAAACGCCCCGCCCAUCCCAUUCCCUCCCCCUCCCCCUUGGCAACCACAAGUCUGUUCUCCAUGUCUGCAAGUCUGUAGGAACUUAUCUAUAGAACAGAAAUGUCACUUCUGAAGGCAAUGGGACAUGGAGUUCAGAUGGGUUGUGUUGGCUGCCUUGGGCUUGACUUUUAGUUCUCUGGCCGGGUGGGCGGUCCCCAGGGAUGUGCCAGGUCCCUGGGAGCCACUCCAGGGAGGCAGCUCUGGUUUCCCUUGAGGCCAAGGUGGUUCAUAAAAAUCCACUACGCAGGGAGCACUAACCAUGCCCUAGAGUUUACAGAUAUUAAACAAUGUCAUUCUCACAUUAAUUCCACGAAGUGGGCAAAUGCUAUUACUUAUAUUUUACAGAGAUGAGGCAGCUGGGAGUCGCCAUAUCUAGGUCAUACGUCCCAGAGUAGAGGUGUUCUGGCAAGUUGAUUGCAACCAGAUCUCUGUGGCCAGAAUCAGGAUUCUUUCUGCCAAGCUGCUUGUUCCCAUAAAGGUCUCCCUUAGAAAAAUUUCUCCCCUGCGUAUCAACAAGGAGCAUCAUCAGAGGCCAUUUUCGGGUUAAAGGUCCUUCUGAAAAUCAGAUGAAAGCUAGGACAUAAGAGCACAUAUGCUCUUCAAUUUGGGGGAUUGAGGAGUCUCUGAAGUGUAUCUAUAUGCAUCUGAAUGUCUACAGACCCAUUUCAGAAACUCCUGAGAUAAGGAAAAGGAAAGAAGCCAGAGAAGAAAGAAGCCUCAACGGAAACAGAAUUAAAAGUUGAGUUGUCAGCACAAUCUCAACCUUCUGAAUGUGUUGCUUUGAGUACAACAAGCUUCAAUACACAGGGUUGUGUUAUCUCACUGUAUAAAUAUUCUUCUUAUUCAUAACGUACAUGUGACAAUGACAACUCCUUUGAUCAUUCUACAGGUGUUUCACGGUCAAGGUCAUCAUCCAUUCUUCUAAGCCAUUCUUCCAGGAUCAUCCAGAAUCAUUUGGCAAUAUAGUUACAUUAAUCUUAUG